rnacentral:rRNA from 2 species
CUUGACACUGAACAUUGAGCCUUGAUGUGUAGGAUAGGUGGGAGGCUUUGAAGCGUGGACGCCAGUCUGCGUGGAGCCAACCUUGAAAUACCACCCUUUAAUGUUUGAUGUUCUAACGUUGGCCCCUAAUCGGGGUUGCGGACAGUGUCUGGUGGGUAGUUUGACUGGGGCGGUCUCCUCCCAAAGCGUAACGGAGGAGCACGAAGGUUAGCUAAUCCUGGUCGGACAUCAGGAGGUUAGUGCAAUGGCAUAAGC